rnacentral:tRNA from 1 species
GGAGGGGUGGGUGAGCGGUCGAAGCCACCUGCCUGGAGAGCAGGUGCACCCCCCAAGGGUGCCGUGGGUUCGAAUCCCACCCCCUCCGCCA